rnacentral:rRNA from 1 species
UUCGCAAUGCCCGAAAGGGUGACGAAGCGACGCCGCGUGGGUGAGGAAGGCCUUCGGGUUGUAAAGCCCUGUCAGGAGUUAAGAAAUAUAAGUGCGCUAAUAUCGCAUUUAUUUGACGAAGGCUCCAAAGGAAGCCACGGCUAACUCUGUGCCAGCAGCCGCGGUAAUACAGAGGUGGCAAGCGUUGUUCGGAAUUAUUGGGCGUAAAGAGCACGUAGGUGGGUUUGUAAGUCAGAUGUGAAAGCCUUCUGUUCAACGGAAGAAUUGCAUCUGAAACUACAAGUCUUGGGUGUAGGAGGGGAGAAUGGAACUUCUGGUGGAGCGGUGAAAUGCGUAGAUAUCAGAAGGAACGCCGGCGGCGAAAGCGAUUCUCUGGCCUAUUACUGACACUCAGUGUGCGAAAGCUAGGGGAGCAAACGGGAUUAGAUACCCCGGUAGUCCUAGCUGUAAACGAUGGGCACUAAGUAGAGGGGUUUU